CAGCCUAGCUUGUGAAUUUGAUUAUAAAAUGAGAUUAUGAUGUUGAAAAACAAUGGAAAAUGGUUAAUUAUUCUCCUGCCACAAAACAUAAAAAAAAUAAUAACGUUCUAAAUAAUUAACGUUUAUAAACAAUAAUAAAUUUUUUUUUUAAAAAAUUAUUUGAGGGCAUAUAAUAACCAGAUAAAAAAAUACAUAAAAGAAUGAAUGAGUGUAUGAAUAAAUUAAUGAAUACAAUUAUUUUAAUUGAAAAUAAAUAAAUAAAACAUCGGUUGUCUUUACAGACAAAAACAUAAAUACAAAUAUUUGUUAAAAAUUGAAAAAAAAGAGUCUUAAAAGAAACCAUAGACUCAAAAAAUACAUUUCAAAUUUAAUUAUUUAACUUUCCCUUUUGUGCAAAAUCAGAAUGAGCUUUAUUGCCAAGAAUGUUUACAAUGCGCACACAAUACAUUUUUCUUGGUGACAGGUGCUUCCAGUGUUGAAAAAGUAGAAACAUAGGCAAUGCAAAAUGGAAUAUCACACACAACAGUAUAAAAUGUAAGCAAUAAAUUAAAUUUAAUACAAUACAAUAUGUACUUGAAAGUUGAAACAUAAUGUUCCCGUUUACCUUGUUCCCUGAGAAAGCGGAUUGAGAUCAGCGCAUUAGCAAAUGUCUUAUUUGUGACCAGCUGUGAAUAAUGUGUGUAACACGUUGAUAGAAUUGACCCGGUGGUAAUAUAGCCCCGGUUGAUGACGUCAUCGGGGCGUGCCCGCAACACGUGGGCUAUAAAUAGAUAAGCCACAGGUGCAUCAACAGGACAUUUUGUCUGAAGAGCAGUCCUGGGACAUAUUCAGCACGGCAAUGCAGCGCAGCAUCUCGUUCCGCUUUCUCAGGUAACAAGGUUGCAGUCAAGUAACCAGGAACGUUCCCUUUCGAAAGCUUCAGUCGAUGCUGCGCUGCUCAGCACAUUGGGAACGAGAAUACCCACGCCGCCGUGCUUGAAAAAUGUCUGGACCCCUAAGGUUGUGCAGGUGUGCUACCAAACCACAAGAAGGCCUCAGACAUUAGCUUGUGAUGUUGACUCAAGGACAUGAGAGGCCGGAGUAGUAUGGACCAGGGCCGUGAAGAGACCUUUGGAGGGGCAGGUGCUCAAAGUAUAAAAGGGGCACACGGAACAAGGCUUUAAAUAGCGUGGUUCAAAAUAGCAAUACAGCAAUAUAUUGUGAAGCAUUCCUUGCCGAUUUGCGUAUCGAUAUGGAUGAUUAUGUAUUGAUAUGGCAGCAAAUGCUGUGAUGCAGUUUUUAAAAAGAAAAAGAUUAGAAGAGACAAUUUUAAGUUUAAAAGUAAAAAAAUAAAAAAUUAUUUCCACCUAAUAAUAGCUCUGGGAUUAGAAACUGAAAUGUCUUAAAUUGUCCCAACCUGAAGGUUUUUUCUUCUCUGUUCUACAGAAUAAUUAAGAACAGCUGUUAUAGUAAAAACUACAGAAAACAACUCUACAUUUUCCUCUUUCUCACCAGCCUCGGUCUCCUGGCUUGCUUACCUGCUCUUUCUGUCACUUGUGCGUCUACAUUUGCCUCUUUUUCUUCCUCUAUCUCCAUCUCCUCAUCUGAUCUUUUACUUUCCAGUCUCUGUCCAUCUAAGAACAAGGCACAAUCUACUAUUUCAUUAUCAAUCUAUUAUUUUAACCAUCACUACUAUUCUUGCACCUAAUCAAUAAGUCCACCUUAAAUAUUGAUACAAAACAAUAAACAACUGAGUCAUGCUAUGAAAAUUGUGCUCUUCUCUCUCUCUCUCUCUCUCUCUGGAGUUUGAUGUCCUCCCAAUCACUUCCACCAAUUACUUCCACUCACUCCCUCACCUGUCCCAGGACACUUAGCCACUCACCCAAAUAGCAAAAUAAUGUCAUUAAUAACUUACCCUCAUGUUGUUCCAAACCGGAACCACAAAAAAGAACCGGUGAACCAUUUUCUUCAACCAGUUUAUUGAAUCGAACUGUCCGAAAGAAUAUGCAUGACGAAUCACAGGGAAACACAGGUGGGCGGACACAAGGCUGGGCGAACUGAAUCUUCGGUGGACAACGGAUGAUGGUGCUUGGGCCCGUGAUGAUCCCUUGAACCCGGUGCGUGUGUAAUCCUCGUGACGGUGCUCGGUAAUCCAGUGCUGGGUGAAGAUCCAGGAACAACGAUGAUACAGGAAGACUCAGGCAGGAACUAGGGACACAGGAACAGGUACAGGAGCACACCGGGGAGAAACAACGAUCUGACAUGAAACACCAGUUACUGAACUUAUAUAGGAGACAAACAAUUGAAACCAGCUGGCGCUGCUGAUCAUCGCUGAUCAGUGACCACGCCCAUAGACACACACACAACAGCACGCUAGACGAGAGAGAGAGUGAAUUCAUGAACCGUGACAGUACCCCCUCCCCUAAGAACGCCUCCUGGCAUUCCCUGGCGGACUUACCUGACGAUUGUAAUCAUCGAUCAGAGAGUGAUCAAGAAUGUCUCUAGUAGGAACCCAACUUCUCUCCUCUGGACCGUAACCCUCCCAGUCCACCAGGUACUGAAAUCCACGUCCCCUCCUUCUCGAGUCCAGAAUACGACUAACCAAAUAAGUAGGUUCCCCAUCUACGAGACGCGGCGGGGGAGGAACCGGGACAGGCGGAUUAAUAGGUGCCCAAAACACGGGUUUGAUCUUUGAUACAUGGAAGGCGGGGUGAAUUCUCCUGUACCUAGGAUGAAGUUUGAGGCGGACUGCCACCGGACUAAUGAUCUUGGUGACAGGAAACGGGCCAAUAAAUUUGGGAGCAAGCUUAUUAGAGACAGAGCGGAGAGGAAUGUUCUUAGUAGAAAGCCACACUUUUUGACCAACGACGUAUACGGGAGGCUUUGACCGGUGGCGAUCGGCCUUGGCGCGCGCCCCCAUUUGGAGAAGAGUCUCACGGGCUCUAGUCCAAGUGUGGUGACACCUCUGGAUGAAGGCGUGAGCGGAGGGGACCGCGACUUCGGAUUCCGUACUGGCAAAAACUUGUGGCUGGUAACCUCAACUACACUCAAAUGGAGUAAGGCCCGUAGCUGACACUGGUAACGAGUGGUGUGCGUACUCCACCAUAGAAAGUUGUUGGCUCCAAGAGGAAGGAUUCUUGGAAACCAAACAUCGCAAUACUCUCUCCAGCUCUUGGUUGGCCCUCUCUGAUUGAUCAUUGCUUUGGGGAUGAAACCCCGAAGAGAGACUAACCGUCGCUCCCAAUAAUCUACAAAACUCUUGCCAAAAUUUGGACACAAAUUGGGGACCCCUGUCGGAGACCACGUCCAUCGGGAGGCCAUGUAAACGAAAGACGUGAUCUAUGACAACAACCGCUGUCUCCUUGGCUGAAGGUAAUUUGGGCAAGGCGAUAAAAUGAGCCGCUUUCGAGAACCGGUCCACAACGUCAAAACGUCAAAACGUCUUGCCUCGGGAGGGCGGUAGCAAAAUCUAGCACGAUGUGGGACCAGGGUCUCAAAGGGACUGACAACGGUUGGAGUAACCCAUCAGGGGGUCGGUUGGACGUCUUACCAGUGGCACAAACAGAGCAAGCCAAAACAAAACUACGGAUAUCACGAGCCAUUAACCGCCACCAGAAUCGUUGUUUAUCCAAAAAACUGGUACGAUUAGCUCCUGGAUGACUUCAGACCGAUACUCCUCAGGCAAAAAUAACCGGUUCGGUGGGCAAUUGGGCCUAGGCGUUACCCCUUCUAAGGCCUUCAUGACCUUCAAUUCGACCUUCCAUCUGAGAGUGGAGACCACUAAUGUCUCGGGUAAAAUACACUCGGGAGUGGACGGGCGUUCGGAAUGGUCAAAAACACGAGAUAAAGAAUCGUGUUUGAUGUUUUUGGAACCCGGGCGGUACGAAAGAGAAAAGUCAAAACGACCGAAAAAAAGUGCCCACCGAGCCUGCCUAGAGUUGAGUCUUUUAGCAGUUCUAAUUGUAACCCAGGUUACCAGUGGAGUAACAGAAAAAAUAUUGUUAUUAAUAUAACACUAUAAUAACGUGAGAGUUAUUAAAAAGUAUUCAAAAUUAGUAAUUUCAAAAAAGAAAAAUAUUACUUUCAUACAAACAUAUAUUUUCAUUUGAGAAAUACUAUGACCAAUGGUGAUUAGUUUUGAACCUGAGAUGAGCCAAUACGAGCGCAGUUUUUGGCGCUGCGUAAGAAUUGAUUUCCGGGUUUUCGCAUGAGGUAUAUGCGUGAAGUUAAGAGGCAACUCUCUCUAGUGUGCACGGAUGCCUGAUGAGUGCUGUGUCUCGAUGCUCCGGGAAACAGAAAUAUAGAAAUUAGCCUUAUAGAUGAGUUUGGUCGAUGGAUUGAUGGUAAAGGGAGCGAUUGUAAUGUGGCGUGCUGUGCCUGCAUCAUUCUGGAAUAUUCUGAGUUAAACGAUUUCCUUGGUCAGGUUUUUUUUCUUCUGUUAUGUCUUUUCCAAAUUCGCUGUGUAUACUGGAUCUGUCCUGGCCUUCCAGUGGUUUUGAGGAGGGUUUGGACUGGCGAGCCUCCCUCGAGUUGUUUUUGGAUCUUUCUGUUGAAGAAGUAUUCGCACUGAUUCAACUGCAAAUGGUAGGAAAAGGACUAACUUUCCUCAUCUUUUUAUUUUUUUAUUUUUUUUUUUCCGGAUGGAGACCUUUUUCAUUACCCAGAGAUAAAGGACAAUUAUUUAUUUUAUUUUUUUAUUUUAUUUUUCCUAAAACUUUUCAAAGCACUCUUUCACAAGGACUUCAAUUCUGAUUGGAUUUCAUUGUAAAAGAAAAAAAGAGAAGAACCAUUUGUUGUGCAAUUGGGUUGUAUGUUGUUUAUUUAGGAUUUACCCUGUUGAAACCCAAAGGGAAAAAAAACUGAGAUCUAAAGUGUUGAAAUCUUACAUUCUGGUUGGAAAGGAAAUACAUAUGUACAUUUUAUUUCAUUUUAUUUUAUUUGUUAUCAACCAAUGUAAUUCACCUGUUGUCAUUCACCUGCAAAUACAGUGUGUGUUCAAACGAG